GGGCUAUAGCUCAGCUGGGAGAGCGCCUGCCUUGCACGCAGGAGGUCAGCGGUUCGAUCCCGCUUAGCUCCACCAU
rnacentral:tRNA from 1 species